AUAUUGCCAACACUUAGCAUUCCAAUAACUUCAUUAUAUGCCUUGUUUGCAGCUCUGUUUAAUGCAAUUUCUUUCUUUACAUGGCACAUGCCUUUUCCCCUCAUUUGAUCGUCAACAAAAACUUCAAAACUCCCAUCAUGUGACCACAUAUCGACUACUCGAACUUUAAGUUUAUGCUUCUGGCAGGUCUCAUAUAGCUUCUUCACCGGAUUUGUUUCAAGCAUUUCCGGUGUAAUUAUGGGCUCUAAUAGAAUCUUCGCUACCUCCCAGGUAGUGUCAAUUGAAGAAUUGCUAUCAAUAAAUACUGCUCCUAUCGUUGAUUCAACAACAUCAGCAAGCAUCUUUGGAGCAUCUAUCAAUCCAUGGGAAUGCAAAGGGUACUCAGGAAUAACAUUUAUAAAUGAUUGAAUUCGUCGCGUAAGGAUAGGCUUUCCA
rnacentral:misc_RNA from 1 species